UGGGGAAUAUUGGACAAUGGGCGCAAGCCUGAUCCAGCCAUGCCGCGUGUGUGAAGAAGGCCUUCGGGUUGUAAAGCACUUUUGUCCGGAAAGAAAUCCUGUCGGUUAAUACCCGGCGGGGAUGACGGUACCGGAAGAAUAAGCACCGGCUAACUUCGUGCCAGCAGCCGCGGUAAUACGAAGGGUGCAAGCGUUACUCGGAAUUACUGGGCGUAAAGCGUGCGUAGGUGGUUCGUUAAGUCUGAUGUGAAAGCCCUGGGCUCAACCUGGGAAUGGCAUUGGAUACUGGCGACCUAGAGUGCGGUAGAGGGGUGUGGAAUUCCCGGUGUAGCAGUGAAAUGCGUAGAUAUCGGGAGGAACAUCUGUGGCGAAGGCGACACCCUGGACCAGCACUGACACUGAGGCACGAAAGCGUGGGGAGCAAACAGGAUUAGAUACCCUGGUAGUCCACGCCCUAAACGAUGCGAACUGGAUGUUGGGUGCAACUUGGC
rnacentral:rRNA from 1 species